rnacentral:lncRNA from 1 species
AUGAAAAAAAGAGAGAACACCAUACAAGGGAAAAGCAAUAAAAGGCGCAUUUUAUCAUGCUUCAGGUGUUUCUUAUGGCUAAGUAGAAAACAGAAAAGAGUACAACAAGAAAAGCCAGUUUUGUCAGACACUCAAAGAACCAGGGAUGAAUCCAGAAAAAAUAUUCCAGCAGUCACAGCAGCCACAGGUUACACUACUUUAUCAUGUUUAGCUACUAAAAAUAGUAGGAAAAAUCGAAGGAAUAAAAUGUAAGGAAAGUAAACUUUUGUCACCAUGAUUUUGUCAU